rnacentral:lncRNA from 1 species
AAGCCUCUAGGAUAUACAUGACAUAACUAGGGUCGGGACAAACCCCCGCCCACACAUGACUCCUGUACAAUAACAAAACAUAAGGGACCGACUCGGAAAGCUCCGAAGCAAACUGGAGCUCACCAACAAUAGCUGUAUGACCUGACUCCUAUCUAUGCUGUGAAUGAGCUGAAGCACUUGUGCCUGUAGCAUGAAAUACAGGUCCCCCGUGAGGGACGUCAGCACGAAAUAUGUACUGAGUAUGUAAAGCCGUAAAUAAUCAUAUGUGAUAUGGGGGAUCAAGAAAAUCAGACGCAAGUGAAUAAAUCAUAAUAGAAGUGAACCACACUUCAUAAACACUUUUAUACAUUAUCAUUAAUCUGAAUUGGAUUCUUGAAUUCAAACACAUUUGUGGAACGGUAUACAUUCGUUCAUUUCAUUCUUUACAAUUAUCAUUCGCCAUUACCUCCUCCUCCCGAACCUCCAACCACCUAACAAUAAUUAAUACUGUACCGUACUGUGACCAUUAGGCUGUCCCCAGUACAUAUCAACUGUAAUCAUAUCAAAUAUCGGGAUCGGCCCAUGCUAGGCUUAAGCCCUUGAGCUACCACUCACACGUAUAUCAAGUAACACACAUAAGAGAUCUUGCCAAUAACUUAGUUCAAAGCUUUUGAGAUUAUUACAUUAGUGUUCAUGCCAAUAUAGUACCUUUGGAAUAAUGAUACAUCAAUAGGAACCAAGUAAUAGACUUUCUAUACAAUAACGAUGUAAUAAAGACUCAUUGAUACAUCAACAAUGUGUUUCGGAAUCAUCAAUAUCACAACAAUAAAAUAGGAGCCUUUCGGUAUAUCAAUAAAGCAUUUUGACACGUUAUAGAAUGGAAACAACUUCGUUGGUAAUGUAGAACAAUAAAUGUUUUUGGACAACCUCGGAAUCUUACUUGAUGGACAUUGGUGUUUUCAUGCCAAAGAACAUCGUUAAAGUAUGAUUUACAUACCUCGUUGUAGAUUCGGAUACCAAUUCAACACAACUUCCCGCCUUUACAAAUCACUUAUCUACAAUGAAAUGUUUGGCAUCUAGUAUUAGCAACCCAACACCACAAUUCUCUUCCAUAAUUCCAUACAACCAAUAUUUGCAAAGCAUUCCAAAAACCAACUUGAACAAUAGGUUUAUGUGUAUAUAUAUAUAUAAUCAUCAUUUCAAUACCACAUCAUCACACCAAAUCCCUUCACAAUUCAACAUAAUCCAACCAUGCACAAGAAUAAUCCAACAUCAUUUCCAAUCAUCUUUCAACAACAAUCAAAUAACACACUUCUUAUGCUCACAUGCAUAUAUAUAUACAUAUCCAUAUAAAUAACACCAACAUAAUUUACAUCCUUACCAUAAAAUGGCCCUUUUGAUUUCGAAGUCCUGUUGGCACAAAUAAGGGGUGCUUCUCGAAGCCCUUGAGAUGGUGAACACAACUACGGAAUCAAUUUGGAUUUUCUACGGUUGAAUCACAAGAUAAUUGGAGUUGAACUUAGGCUAGGGUUUCUUAUUCUUCAAUAAUUUGGAUGAUAAAUGAUGGAUAUGAGGCUAAGUAUAUGUAUAUAAUGACCAAUUUUCGUCCAUGAGGUGAUGGAAAAUGACCAUAUUGCCCUUAAAAUUUAAGUAAAUCCGAAUCUGUCCAUGGUGGACUGUUUUGAUAGGCUAAAGUAAAUCGACCAUAACUCUUUGCUCCGAUAUCAGAUUUGGGUGAAAUUGGUAUCGUUAGAAAGAUAAUUCAAAGGUCUUUCAUUUAAUAUAAAUUAAUCCACCCAGUUCGUCCUGUACAAGUAGUUAUGAUCGUUUGAAGUUGACCCUAAAAAUCUGUUUUGAGAGGCUGAAGUAAAACGAGUAUAACUCCUUACUCAGAUGUUGGAUUUGGAUGAAACCAAUUUCAUUGGAAAGAAGACUCAAAGAUCUUUCUUUUGAUAUAUGGUAGCUCAACCAGUUCAUUAUAUUGAGGGAGUUAAUCGUUUAAAGUCGACCCAAAAAUCUGUUUGGCUGCAGUACUUUUGUGUGCAGAAAAUUUCUGCACAUUUACUGUUCAUUGCGUCCACCAUUUUCAAGUUUCGAACAUGCUCGCUUAUAUCCGAUACUCAUCUUUUUUCAGAAAUAUUUAUAUCGUUGGAAAGCUAACUCAAUAAACUUAGCAUAGAAACUUCAACGAGCGAAUUCCGGUAUAAAUAAAGUCGAUUCCUAUACACAUAUAAUCAAACUAUACACUUGAAACCAUCUCAAAAUAAUCAAUACUCAUACUUAAACUCAUAUAUACCUAACUUAUGAUCAAUACAUAUACUCCAACACAUAUAACCAUGGCUAAUGCACGUAAUUAAGUACGGGGUGUUACACUAAUGCAUGAUACAUGAACUGAACUAGACCUGCUAAUAUUACUGACUAACUCAUGUGGAAACAUAAGAUCAAAUGAGCGCAAGAUAUCUAAUAAUGCAUACAAUGAUCAUGAAAAACUUGAAACGUACCCGAAUCUAGGUUGGCGAAACUUUCUGGAUCAUGGUGAGUCUGGAGUGAAUAAGUCGAUUCUAACACUGACCACUAUUGGUGCUUGGAUUUGUGGCCUGCUCAUGUGAAUCUCUACCUUUCUGAUUAACUUGACGAUCUAAUAUAGCAAUAGGCAUCUCCUCAUAGGUAAGAUCUUCUGUUACUUGCACAUCUUCAGUAGAAGUAAUAAGGGACGGAUCUCCGAUGCACUUUCGAAGCAUCGAUACAUGAAAUACUGGAUGCACUGAUGAGAGUUCCUGGGGUAGCUCUAAUUUAUAAGCAACUUGUCUACAUCUUCGAAUAAUCUUAUACUGGCCUAUAUAUCGUGGACUCAACUUUCCUUUCUUGCCAAAUCUCAUCACCCCUUUCAUUGGCGAUACCUUCAAAAAUACCCAAUCGCCUAACGAAAACUCUAGCCCUCUUCUUCUACUAUUCGCAUAUGACUUGUGUCGACUUUGGGCUAUUUUUAACGGUUGCUGAAUCACCUUUUUCUAUGGCUUGAUACACAAGAUCCGGUCCGAACAUAAGAGUUUCACCCGCUUCGAACCAUCCUAUUGGUGAUCUACACUUUCUUCCAUAUAAAGCUUCAUAUGGUGCCAUUUUGAUACUUGAAUGAUAGCUAUUAUUGUAGGCAAACUCAAUAAGAGGUAAAUGAUCAUCCCAGUUGCCUUUACAAUCUAUAACACAUGCUCGUAGCAUGUCUUCAAGUGUUUGAAUGGUGCGCUCUGCUUGUCCAUUCGUCUGAGGGUGAAAAGCUGUACUCAGAUUCACUUAUGUUCCCAAACUUCGUUGGAAGGACUUCCAAAAGUUUGCGGUAAAUUGAGUUCCCCGAUCUGAUAUAAUAGAAGCUGGCACUCCAUGUAAUCGGACUAUUUCUUUAACAUACAGCUUCGAAUAUUCUUCAACUGUGUAAGUGGUCUUAACGGGUAAGAAAUAUGCGAAUUUAGUAAGCCUAUCCACAAUCACCCAUAUAGAAUCAAAUUUUCGAGCUGUACGAGGCAAACCUGUAACAAAAUCCAUGUUGAUCAUGUGCCACUUCCAAAUUGGAAGAUCUAUGCAUUGCAUAUAGCCUCCGGGCUUUUGAUGUUCCACUUUAACUCGUUGGCAAUUUGGACAUUCAGCUACAAAUUCUGCGAUGUUCCUUUUAAUGUCAUUCCACCAAUAUACACCUUUCAAAUCUUGAUACAUUUUGGUUGACCCUGGAUGAAUAGAAUACCUUGAGAAAUGUGCCUCAGUCAUAAUUCUUUUUCUUAGCUCAUCAACAAUAGGCACACAUAGCCAAUUUUGGCAUAGAAGUACUCCUUCUUGAGAAAGCUCAAAUACCUUCGUUGCACCAUUUUGAACAUUCUCCUUGAGUUGCAAUAAAACAGGAUCUGCAUCUUGCUUCUCUUUCACCUCAGCUACUAAUGAGGAUUCCGCGGCAUUAUGCACAAUAAUCUCCUCGUCCGGAGUUUCGAGAAGACGAACUCCUAGACUAGCUAAUUGAUGAAGAUCUUUAAUCAUCCCUUACCUUUCUACAGGGAGUGUUUUGACAAGGUUAAUUGUGUGUGAAUUGCAGGAGCACUGGGAUACAUGUAAUGCAAUAGUCCUUUCAUGGAUUAUUAAUACAAUUUCGCCGAAUUUGUUGAGUGGAAUCCUAUAUGUAUCGGAUGCUCAUCUUGUCUGGGAAGAUCUGAGGGAGUGUUUUGACAAGGUUAAUUGUGUGUGAAUUUUUAAAUUUUACAGAGAAAUUGCAAUAAUUACAUAAGAAGUCAACAUCGUAUCAACUUACUUCACCAGAUUGAAGCAGUUGUGGCUAUAAUUUGAUGCAGUUGUGCCUUCACCAAAUUGCGGUUGUCCCAAAUUUAAAAUCUAUGUUGAACACCUUCAACAACAACGUCUACUUCAAUUUCUUAGUGGCUUGAGUGAAACUUCUGCUCAAUCACGAGGUCAGGUCUUGAUGAAAUCAAAUGAGCCAACUUUGAAUCAGGCAUAUGCACUAAUCCUUGAAGAUAAGAUUUAAAAGGCUAUUUAUGGUGCUGGAACAAUUAACCUCGGGGAUGGGAAUGAUAUUGCCGCAAUGUGGAGUGCAAGAGGUCAUAGUCCUCGUCCUCACCAAACUAAACCUAAAGGCAAACCUAAGCGUAAUUGGGAUGAGCAAUGCAGUUUUUGUAAAAUGAAAGGUCACAGAGCUAAAGAUUGUUACCAACUUAUUGGAUAACAAGAUGAUUACAAAGGGAGAAGGAAACCUGUAGUGAAUAAUGCUUACUUUGCUGGUUUUAGACCACCACAACCUUGGGGCAAUCAACCUUCACCUAUCCGAGCUCCGCUUUAUGCUCCAUCUCUGCAAUAUGAAAGGUUUUCUGAAGUUUCUAUUUCGGGACAUAAUGUAGCACCAGUAGCUUCUGGGGAUGACAUGACUGGUGUUUAUCAUGGCCAAUUUUCUGCACUAGGAGGCCAUAGUAUCGGUAAUUUUGGAGGUUAUGUGCCAGGUUUUGUUGAUCACUCUGCAGGUGUCAUACAGCUAAAACAACAGAAAUUGGAAAUCCAGAAGGAAUAACUAUGACAUUCACACCAAAUCAGUAUGCUUAAGUGCAAAAAAUGCUGGACAAAGGCAGAGGAACUGAUUCUGCAUCAUCAGCAAAUGUAGUAGGUACCGUUUGUGCUUUUGUGGCUAAUAAAUAUGCAAAUGAUUGGAUAGUGGAUACAGGAGCAACCAAUCAUAUUGUAUGUAAUCCUACAAAACUCUCUAUUACUACCGGAAAAGCCACAGAAGGAAUUGACAACAUUCUCUUGCCUAAUGGGACUAGUAUUCCUAUUUCACAUAUUGGUAAAAGCAAAUUGGUACAAGCAGAGAUCAGUAAUGUCUUAUGUGUUCUUGAUUUUCAAGUCAAUUUACUUUCAGUUUCCAAAUUGACUAGAGAAUUAGGGUGCUCUAUGAUAUUCCAUCCUGAUUAUUGCUUACUGCAGGACCUUCACACUGAAGUGGUGAAGGGAACUAGUAAAAUGAUAGGUGGAUUAUAUUACUGGAAUGGUGAUCCAAGAGAACAAGUGAAGAAGAACUUUGUGGCUCUUAAUGCAGUUGAUACAAGUGAUUAGUGGCAUAAGAGAUUAGGGCAUAUCCCUCACAAAAUAAUGCAACAAAUGGAUGUAAUAAGACUAAAUAACAUGGAUAUUACUAGGUUAUGUUCAGUUUGUACUCUAGCUAAACAACCCAGGCUACCAUUUCCACAAAGUACUAGUAGAGCAAGUAAAAUGUUUUAUCUUAUUGGGGAUGUUUGGGCCCUUACAGAGUUUCUACCCAUGAUGGGCAUCGAUUCAUUCUCACAUUAGUAGAUCAUUGUAGUAGAAUGGUUUGGAUCUACUUGCUUAAACUGAAAAGUGAUGUUUCUAUUAUAAUAAAGAAUUUUCUACAGUUGGUGCAUACUCAGUUUAAUAGCUCUGUUAAAGUGUUUAGAAGUGAUAAUGGGACAAAAUUUUUUAAUCCUGUUAGCAAAGAUUUGUUUGUUUCAACUGGGAUUGUACAUCAAAGCUCUUGUGCCUACACAACCCAACAGAAUGAGGUAGUGGAAAGAAAGCACAAACAAUUAUUGGAAGUGGCCAGGGCUAUCAAAUUUCAAGCAGAUAUACCUUUAAAAUUCUGGGGUAUUUGUGUCCAAAAUGCUACUUAUUUGAUCAAUCGGAUCCCAUCUACUGCUUUGAAAGGUCAAUCACCCUUUGAAGUCUUCUUUGGAAGGAAACCAAACAUACAACAUAUCAGGGUCCUAGGGUGCUUAUGUUAUGCUACCAAUGUUGGUCAUAAGAAGGACAAAUUUGGUACAAGAGCUAUGGAAGCUGUCCACAUGGGAUACUCUACAACACAGAAGGGAUAUAAGUUGUAUGACAUAACUAACAAAAAAAUUUUGUCAGUAGGGAUGUGACUUUCAAAGAGGAUGUGUUCCUAUUUAAGCACAAUCCUCAAGAAAUUUCUCAGGGCUUGAGACCUCAUCCAACAUGUCCACAACCAAUAGAAGGAUUUUACGAUCCUUUUUAUUAUGGUCACUGAUGAUGUAGGAUCUCAUAUUCCACCUGCAGAACCAGAACCAAUGGUUCUUCCUGAAGUUUCCGCCCCUAUAGUAUCACCUGUUCCUUCACCAAGUAGAGAUGUUGCUAGUGGAGUCAUUCCACCUGUCCAUGAGAGUCAUGUUGGGAUUAAAAAGUCAUCCAUAGCCUCAAAAAUACCAGCUUGGUUGAAUUACUUUAUUCACAGGUCUUCUAAACCAUCAUCAUCUACAUCUGCAUACCCUUUGUCCAAUUAUAUGUCUUAUGCUGCUUUGUCGGAUUCCUAUUGUCAUACACUUUGCAAUUUUUCUUCUAUUAAAGAGCCAGAUUCUUAUGAAGAAGCACUGCAUCACUCUGUAUGGGUAGAUACUAUGAAUCAAGAAUUACAGGCCCUUAGUAAUAAUUAAACUUGGGAUUUAGUUCCCUUUCCUUCUAAUAAGAGGGCCAUUGGGUGCAAGUGGGUGUUCAAAACCAAAUUUAAUGCUCAAGGCCUAGUAGAGAGAUACAAGUCUAGACUAGUAGCUAAAGGGUACACUUAACAAGAGGGUCUUGACUAUCAGGAGACCUUUUCUCCUGUAGUUAAGAUGGUCACAGUGAGGGCAGUUUUAUCUCUUGCAGCUAUGUACAAUUGAAGAUUGCACCAGAUGGAUAUUUUCAAUGCAUUCCUUUAGGGUGAUUUGGUAUAGGAUGUCUACAUGUCUCCAUCCCCUGGUCUUUUAAUCAAGGGGGGAGCAACCUUUAGUUUGCAAACUAAAGAAAUCACUUUAUGGCUUGAAAUAAGCCUCAAGACAAUGGAACUUGAAGCUUAGUGAAGCUCUCAUUACCUCAGAUUUUGUACAGAGUCAUCAUGACUAUUCCCUAUUUGUGAAGACCACUAAUGCAGACUUGGUUCUAGUUCUUGUUUAUGUUGAUGAUUUGUUGAUCACUGUUUCUUCCUCUUCUCUGAUUCAGGAAGCUAAGCUUUUGCUGCAACAUCAUUUUAAGAUCAAGGAUUUGGGGGAGAUAAAGUACUUCCUUGGUCUUGAAAUUGUUAGAAAUCCACAAGGCAUUUUGGUAUAUCAAAGAAAAUUUGGCUUGGAUUUGAUUGCUGAUGUGGGAUUAACAGGUUCAAAACCUGUCAGCACACCUUUGGAGAAGAAUCAAAGGUUGACUAGUGCAGAAUUUGAUCAAGGUUGUAAAACAAAUUCAAUAGAUGCAUUGCUCAUAGAUCCGAGAGGUUAUCAGAAGCUAGUUGGAAAGUUGUUGUAGUUGACAAUGACUAGGAUAGACAUUAGUUUUGCUGUCCAAAACUUAAGUCAGUUCAUGCGUCCGAAGAAAUCCCACAUGGAGGCAGCCAUGAGGGUAGUAAGGUACUUGAAGACUGCACCAGGGCUUGGUAUUAUGUUGUCAUCAGAAACUUCAUCACACCUGUCAGUUUAUUGUGAUGCUGAUUGGGGUACUUGUCCUAUGAGUAGGAGGUCAGUGAGUGGUUUUCUUGUGAAGCUGGGAGGAUCACUCAUUUCUUGGAAAUCCAAGAAGCAAAAUACAAUAUCUAGGAGCUCAACUGAAGCUGAAUAUAGAAGUAUGGCUAAUUCAGUAGCAGAAGUAGUGUGGUUGAUUGGCUUGUUUUUGUUUAAGGAAUUGGGAACAGAAUUGAGCUUACCAGUGAAGCUGUAUUGUGAUAGCAAAGCAACAGUUCAAAUUGCUACAAAUCCAAUUUACUAUGAACGGACUAAACACAUAGAUAUCGACUGUCAUUUUAUUAGGGAAAAGAUUCAAGAUGGUCUGGUACACACUCAACACAUAUCCACUAUAAUGCAGCUAGCAGACAUGCUUACACAGAGCUUAGGAAAGGCACAACAUGAAUUCUUAUUGGGCAAACUGGGAAUGUUCAACCUGUUUCCAUUACACAACUUGAGGGGGAGCAUUUAUAAAGGUAUCAUGUGAGAAGCAUGUGCUAAGGACAACUGUAUAUGAGCUGUCACCAAGCAGUUGUAAUUCACAGUUAGUUAGUGGUGUAAUUAGUAGAUUAGAUACAAUACCACAAUUAGGCAUUAGAAGUUAGUUUGUACUAUAUAUAUCACUGAUUGUACAUUCUCUAACAGAUUUUUUUGGAAUAAAAGAACAUACUUCCCAUUUCUUUCUUUCUUAGACAUUGAAGAAGCUCAACGUCAGUUUCCAUGAUGAAAGCUUAACAGAAAUGGAUUAUCAAAAACACACUAUGAUCUCAUCAGGACCUAAUUUGAGGCCCCAGUUGAAUAAUGAAAAGAAAACUCAUACUAUAAGAGGAGUUAGAAAUUUACAAUUUCCACAGCAAUAGCAAAAACACAAAAAGACUAUGUCUUCUAGGGUGAUUAUUUAACAAGAGAAGAGGAUUUUUAUGAAUGGGGUAGGAGAUUAAAAGAUUUAUGACUUUCAUAGAUCUUUCUCGCACAUGCAUCAAAAGCUCCAUAAAAAUUAGCAUCAAUUUUUGUUCAAGCAUAAAUUGAAAGGAAGGGAGCUUACAAUUUCAUCAACUUUGAGUUGACAGAGGAGUAGUGUUGUUGAACAUAGUGACGACUGACGAGAAAACCUAGAAAUUAAAAAUUAAAAGAGGAAG